AAUAGAAUUUCAUACAUCGAGUAUUUUAAUCACAUACUUUCAAAGCGGAGGAACGAUUUUCAACAUACUGUAGAUUCAACGAGAUUAGUUCGAGUCGAUUGGAACAGUGGAGAAUUGGUGAUGCGGACUGCCAAGUGGAUAAAGAAUAGA